rnacentral:rRNA from 1 species
UACAGAGGGGGCAAGCGUUAUUCGGAAUUAUUGGGCGUAAAGGGCGCGUAGGCGGCCGUGCAAGUGGAAGGUGAAAUCCCUCGGCUCAACCGAGGAACUGCCUUUCAAACUGCUUGGCUUGAGUCCGGGAGAGGUGAGUGGAAUUCCCAGUGUAGCGGUGAAAUGCGUAGAUAUUGGGAGGAACACCAGUGGCGAAGGCGGCUCACUGGACCGGAACUGACGCUGAGGCGCGAAAGCUAGGGGAGCGAACGGG